ACACUCUUCCUGUCUCACUCUCAUACCCUGUCUCUCUUUCUCUCUUAGGCUCUCUUUUUCUAUCUCGUUGCCACACACACCCUGUCUCACUGUCGUACGUUUUUCUGUCUCACACUUUUCUGUCCUCACUCUCUCUCUGUCUUGCUCCAUCCUUUUCUCUCUGUCUUGCUCUAUCCCUCUCUCUCUGUUUUGCUCUAUCCCUCUCUCUGUCUUACUCUCACACACUCUCUCACUUUCUUUGCUCCAGACCAGCUGAGGAACGACCCACACUGAAAUCAAAGUGUGCAGGGUUCUUCUGAGGACUCAGAAGAAGUUUUGCCAAGUAAGGUGAGUCUUCACAAUACAAAAUAUUAAUUUGCUGAAUAUAAAAGGGGACAACUCCCUCAAACACAUACAAAAUCCAGCUUUGAAGUGAGCAAGAACUCCUGUCGCAUAUUUACCUUGCUUGAUCUGUAAACUCUGAGAAUAGGUGCAGCCCACAUCUCGUCCAUAGCCAACAUGAUCCAAAUGCUGGGCUUUGCCAUCAUUGCAGGACUGCUCUUCAGCUCUGGUGCGCCUUUUAAAUUGGACCCUGUUAAGCAUGAAAUCAUCAGUGCACCGUGCAGUGGUAUUGAGAAUAAUAU